UUAGUCCUAACCUUACCGUUAAUUUUUGCUAAACAUAUACAUGCAAGUAUCCGCGCUCCAGUGUAAAUACCCUCAAAGUCUUAUCAAGACUCAAGGAGUGGGCAUCAGGCACACUCACAAUUGUAGCCCAAGACGCCUUGCUCAGCCACGCCCCCACGGGUACUCAGCAGUAAUUAACAUUAAGCAAUAAGUGUAAACUUGACUUAGUUAUAGCAACCCUCAGGGUUGGUCAAUCUUGUGCCAGCCACCGCGGUCACACAAGAAACCCAAAUUAACUGUAAUACGGCGUAAAGCGUGACAUUAUGCUAUCUCCCUAGCUAGGAUCAAAAUACAACUAAGCCGUCAUAAGCCCAUGAUGUACCCAAAACCAACCUAAAAACGAUCCCAGCCCUAAUGAUCAAUUAACCGUCACGAAAGCUAGAAUACAAACUGGGAUUAGAUACCCCACUAUGCCUAGCCCUAAAUCCUGAUACUUCCCCCACCAAAGUAUUCGCCCGAGAACUACGAGCACAAACGCUUAAAACUCUAAGGACUUGGCGGUGCCCCAAACCCACCUAGAGGAGCCUGUUCUAUAAUCGAUAACCCACGAUACACCCGACCACCCCUUGCCAAAGCAGCCUACAUACCGCCGUCGUCAGUUCACCUCCCCUGAGAGAACAACAGUGGACAUAAUAGCCCCACCCGCUAAUAAGACAGGUCAAGGUAUAGCUCAUGGAGUGGAAGAAAUGGGCUACAUUUUCUAAAGUAGAAAACCACGGAAAGAGAUAUGAAACCAUCUCUGGAAGGC
rnacentral:ncRNA from 1 species